AUUGAACGCUGGCGGCAUGCUUUACACAUGCAAGUCGAACGGUAACAGGCCUUCGGGUGCUGACGAGUGGCGAACGGGUGAGUAAUGCAUCGGAACGUGCCCAGAGGUGGGGGAUAACGCAGCGAAAGCUGUGCUAAUACCGCAUGUGAUCUGAGGAUGAAAGCGGGGGACCAGGCAGCAAUGUUUGGCCUCGCGCCUUUGGAGCGGCCGAUGUCAGAUUAGGUAGUUGGUGGGGUAAAGGCCUACCAAGCCGACGAUCUGUAGCUGGUCUGAGAGGACGACCAGCCACACUGGGACUGAGACACGGCCCAGACUCCUACGGGAGGCAGCAGUGGGGAAUUUUGGACAAUGGGCGCAAGCCUGAUCCAGCAAGGCCGCGUGCGGGAAGAAGGCCUUCGGGUUGUAAACCGCUUUUGUACGGAACGAAAAGGCUCUGGCUAAUACCUGGGGCUGAUGACGGUACCGUAAGAAUAAGCACCGGCUAACUACGU
rnacentral:rRNA from 1 species